UACGUAGGGGGCAAGCGUUAUCCGGAUUUACUGGGUGUAAAGGGCGCGUAGGCGGGAUGGCAAGUCAGAUGUGAAAUCCAGGGGCUCAACCCCUGAACUGCAUUUGAAACUGUCGUUCUUGAGUACUGGAGAGGUUGACGGAAUUCCUAGUGUAGCGGUGAAAUGCGUAGAUAUUAGGAGGAACACCAGUGGCGAAGGCGGUCAACUGGACAGCAACUGACGCUGAGGCGCGAAAGCGUGGGGAGCAAACAGG
rnacentral:rRNA from 1 species